CACACCCAGCCGCAGCAUUCCGGAAUCCCCGGUGCCUUGGAUGAAGGAUACAACCGUGCAUCGCAAAUCCAGCAGAAGAAGGAGGAGCUUUACAAUCUCAUCGCCAAGGCUGUGGCGGAGCCCACUACCACCUGGCUGGACAGGCGACUGCUCAAGGCUCUCUCCCUGCAAGUCAAGCCUAGACCAAAGGACCCUCAGUGGCGCAAGAUAAUUUUGACCAAGGUGGCCACCCAUUGUACAUAUGCUGUGGGUAUUCUUGUUGCCUAUGUCAGAUGUCCUCGCACUGAAGACGGUGCUAAAAUAGUAAGGUAUGAUGGACAUCUUGUUACUGCUGAGAGUCUGCCCAUGCUAAAAGGAUAGGAGGCUGCUGCUACUUCUGAGGGAGUGCCCAAGCAAUUGGGUUGAAGACAAAAUGCAGCUUGUUUGAUGGAGAAGCAAGACGGAUAUCAGUUCUAUAUAUUCCAGCACUAUAUUAUUAUGUAUGUCUAUAUCAUGUGCUAGCUAGAACAUGAGUAGUAGUAUUACUGGAUGAUCUCUGUGGUCGCAUUCUAAGAUAUUUAUGAUGUUGCUGGCAUGGUAUGAAGAUGAGUCUAGUAGUAUUUCUGUUUGAGCAAAUUUCUGCUUUAGCAACUGAAUGGCUGUGUGAUCGCUUUCUAAGAGAAUAUAGCUCUUUGUGAUA